rnacentral:rRNA from 1 species
AUACGGAGGGUGCAAGCGUUAUCCGGAAUCAUUGGGUUUAAAGGGUCCGUAGGCGGACUAUUAAGUCAGAGGUGAAAUCCCACAGCUCAACUGUGGAACUGCCUUUGAUACUGGUAGUCUUGAGUUAUAUGGAAGUAGAUAGAAUGUGUAGUGUAGCGGUGAAAUGCAUAGAUAUUACACAGAAUACCGAUUGCGAAGGCAGUCUACUACGUAUAUACUGACGCUAAGGGACGAAAGCGUGGGGAGCGUACAGGAUUAGAAACCCUAGUAGUCC